GCGCCGGUGGUGUAAGGCGAACAUCGCUGCCCGGAAAGCAGAAGAUGCGGGUUCGAGUUCCGCCUGGCGCG
rnacentral:tRNA from 1 species